CAUGUGGAUGAAGAGGAUUUGAUCUUGUUAAUUCUCAAUGGUUUACCAGAUGAAUAUAAUGCUUUCAAAACCACAAUUAGGGCCCGAUCUGCUCCUAUUUCUCUGGAAGAUUUGUCUGCUCCUCUGUUCUGAAUCCAUU